UUACCCUAUAGAAAUUUGAUACCCGAUCUGUUUUUCAUCACCGAAUCCCCCAGUGGCUGGUGAGUCUUAUUAGUAAACACCUUCUUAACAAGUGCUGGGAUUCGGUGUCUAGGCCAAAAUGGGUAUGAUGGACGAGUUCGAAGCUUCUUUGCAAGUCUAUGGGGAUUUGAUACUGACAUUUCUUUUGAAGUGAAUGAAAUCAAGAGAUUUGUAACUUCCACAAGCAAGAGAACAGCCAUCUGAUUUUCUGAUCUCAAGCAAAGAAGAUAUUGGUUUCCUCUAAUGGUAGGAAUUGGGUUACUAGUAUUGCAGCAGCUAAGUGGAGUCAAUGGCAUCCUAUUUUAUGCGAGCAAUAUUUUCAAAGCUGUUGGUAGGUUUAGUUAUCAAUAUUUUCACCAGUAUUGAGCUUUUUUUUCCAGUUGAAUGUGGACAGUUGCUGUUUUUACCUUCUUAGCUAUCUUUUUGUAGGCUACUAAAUUCCAUCUGGUCCAUCCCAAGCCUGGGUAGAGGGUUGAUGUCAGGUUUGUUGAUGGGCAUUGAACCUUUGCCAAGCAAUCAUAAAAAAGAUCCCAAAUAGCUGGGACAAGGCUAUAAUGAUAAUGAUGACAAUAUACCAUCUAAUUGAGUCCAGAUUUGAAAUAACAGGAUUCUCCUAUCAAGGAGAU